CAGUCGCCACGGUAAUACAUAGGGUGCGAGCGUUAAUCGGAAUUACUGGGCGUAAAGCGUGCGCAGGCGGUUGUGUAAGACAGGUGUGGAAUCCCCGGGCUUAACCUGGGAACUGCGCUUGUAACUGCACAGCUAGAGUAUGGCAGAGGGGGGUGGAAUUCCACGUGUAGCAGUGAAAUGCGUAGAGAUGUGGAGGAACACCGAUGGCGAAGGCAGCCCCCUGGGCCAAUACUGACACUCAUGCACGAAAGCGUGGGGAGCAAACAGGAUUAGAUACCCCCGUAGUCCCUGUCUCUUAUAC
rnacentral:rRNA from 1 species